GAGUUUGAUCCUGGCUCAGAUUGAACGCUGGCGGCAUGCCUUACACAUGCAAGUCGAACGGCAGCACGGGAGCUUGCUCCUGGUGGCGAGUGGCGAACGGGUGAGUAAUAUAUCGGAACGUACCCUAGAGUGGGGGAUAACGCAGCGAAAGUUGCGCUAAUACCGCAUACGAUCUACGGAUGAAAGUGGGGGAUCGCAAGACCUCAUGCUCAUGGAGCGGCCGAUAUCUGAUUAGCUAGUUGGUAGGGUAAAAGCCUACCAAGGCUUCGAUCAGUAGCUGGUCUGAGAGGACGACCAGCCACACUGGAACUGAGACACGGUCCAGACUCCUACGGGAGGCAGCAGUGGGGAAUUUUGGACAAUGGGCGCAAGCCUGAUCCAGCAAUGCCGCGUGAGUGAAGAAGGCCUUCGGGUUGUAAAGCUCUUUUGUCAGGGAAGAAACGGUUCUGGUUAAUACCUGGGGCUAAUGACGGUACCUGAAGAAUAAGCACCGGCUAACUACGUGCCAGCAGCCGCGGUAAUACGUAGGGUGCAAGCGUUAAUCGGAAUUACUGGGCGUAAAGCGUGCGCAGGCGGUUAUGUAAGACAGAUGUGAAAUGCCCGGGCUCAACCUGGGAACUGCAUUUGUGACUGCAUGGCUAGAGUGUGUCAGAGGGGGGUAGAAUUCCACGUGUAGCAGUGAAAUGCGUAGAGAUGUGGAGGAAUACCGAUGGCGAAGGCAGCCCCCUGGGAUAACACUGACGCUCAUGCACGAAAGCGUGGGGAGCAAACAGGAUUAGAUACCCUGGUAGUCCACGCCCUAAACGAUGUCUACUAGUUGUCGGGACUUAAUUGUCUUGGUAACGCAGCUAACGCGUGAAGUAGACCGCCUGGGGAGUACGGUCGCAAGAUUAAAACUCAAAGGAAUUGACGGGGACCCGCACAAGCGGUGGAUGAUGUGGAUUAAUUCGAUGCAACGCGGAAAACCUUACCUACCCUUGACAUGUACGGAAGCCACCGAGAGAUCGAGUGGUGCUCGAAAGAGAACCGUAACACAGGGCUGCAUGGCUGUCGUCAGCCUCCGUGUCCUUGAGAUGUUGGGUUUAGUUCCGCAACCGAGCGCAACCCUUGGUCAUUAGUUUGCUACGAAAGGGCCCCUUCUUAAUGAGAACUGCCGGUGCAAAACCCGGGAGAAGGGGGGGAAUGACGUCCAGUCCCUCCAUGGCCCCUUAAGUGGUGUGAGGGGCCUUUACCACGAGCUCUAUUACAAAGUGUGUAC
rnacentral:rRNA from 1 species